AAUAAGGUGCCUGAUUAAAGGAUUAUUUUGAUAGAAUAAAUUAUGUAAGUUACUUACCCUUAUUA
rnacentral:tRNA from 1 species